rnacentral:rRNA from 1 species
GACGCUGGCGGCGUGCCUAACACAUGCAAGUCGAGCGGGGUCCAUCCGGUAGCAAUACUGGGGAAGACCUAGCGGCGAACGGGUGAGUAACACGUGAGAAACCUGCCCCGAAGUCUGGGAUAACCCGAGGAAACUCGAGCUAAUACCGGAUGCCUUCUUCUGAUCGCAUGGUCGGAUGAAGAAAGAUUUAUCGCUUCGGGAGGGUCUCGCGGCCUAUCAGCUAGUUGGCGGGGUAACGGCCCACCAAGGCGUCGACGGGUAGCUGGUCUGAGAGGACGAUCAGCCACACUGGGACUGAGACACGGCCCAGACUCCUACGGGAGGCAGCAGUGGGGAAUAUUGCGCAAUGGGCGAAAGCCUGACGCAGCAACGCCGCGUGCGGGAUGAAGGCCUUCGGGUUGUAAACCGCUUUCAGUGGGGACGAAUUCAGACGGUACCCACAGAAGAAGCCCCGGCCAACUACGUG